rnacentral:rRNA from 1 species
UACGUAGGGGGCAAGCGUUGUCCGGAAUCAUUGGGCGUAAAGCGCGCGUAGGCGGCCCGGUAAGUCCGUUGUAAAAGUCAAAGGCUCAACCUUUGAAAGCCGAUGGAUACUGCCGGGCUAGAAUCCGGAAGAGGCGAGUGGAAUUCCUGGUGUAGCGGUGGAAUGCGCAGAUAUCGGGAGGAACACCUAUGGCGAAGGCAGCUCGCUGGGACGUUACUGACGCUGAGACGCGAAAGCGUGGGGAGCAAACAGG